GCUAGCUUCAUUGCUAUGGCAACAGAUAUGACAAUUUUUUUUAAUUGAGACAGGGUCUCAUUCUCUCAUCCAGGCUGGAGUGCAGUGGUGCAAUCUUGGCUCACUACAACCUCCGCCUCCUAGGCUCAAGCGAUACUCCUGUCUCAGUCAUUCAAGUAGCUGAGAUUAUAGGUGCACACCACUACAGCCUGGCUAUUAUAUUUUUCAUAGAGAUGGGGUUUCACCAUGUUGGCCAGGCUGGUCUUGAACUCCUGACCUCAAAUGAUCCACCUACCCUGGCCUCCCAAAGUGCUGGGAUUACAGGUGUGAGCCACCAUUCCCCACUGACAACUUUUUAUAACUUGAUCUUGCUCUUCCCUUUUGCGGCCAUCACCUAAGCGGGAGCUGCCAAAAUGAAGUUCAAUCCCUUUGUGACUUCCGACCGCAGGAAGAAUCGCAAAAGGCAUUUCAAUACACCUUCCCACCUUGGCAGGAAGAUUAUGUCCUCCCCUUUUUCCAAGGAGCUGAGACAGAAGUACAAUGUGUGAUCCAUGCCCAUCCGAAAGGAUGAUGAAGUUCAGGUUGUACGAGGACACUAUAAAGGUCAGCAAAUUGGCAAAGUAGUUCAGGUUUACAGGAAUACGUAAUCUACAUUGAAUGGGUGCAGCGGGAAAAGGCUAAUGGCACAACUGUCCACGUAGGCAUUCACCCCAGCAAGGUGGUUAUCACUAGGCUAAAACUGGACAAAGACCGCAAAAAGAUCCUUGAAUGGAAAGCCAAAUCUCGCCAAGUAGGAAAGGAAAAGGGCAAAUACAAGGAAGAAACAAUUGAGAAGAUGCAGGAAUAAAGUAAUCUUAUUUACAAGCUUUGAUUAAAGCUUGAAA